rnacentral:rRNA from 1 species
UACGAAGGGGGCUAGCGUUGCUCGGAAUCACUGGGCGUAAAGCGCACGUAGGCGGACUCUUAAGUCGGUGGUGAAAUCCUGGAGCUCAACUCCAGAACUGCCUUCGAUACUGAGAGUCUCGAGUCCGGGAGAGGUGAGUGGAACUGCGAGUGCAGAGGUGAAAUUCGUAGAUAUUCGCAAGAACACCAGUGGCGAAGGCGGCUCACUGGCCCGGUACUGACGCUGAGGUGCGAAAGCGUGGGGAGCAAACAGGG